UGCAUCGGCCGGGAAUCGAACCCCGCCCGCGUGACAGGUGAGCAUUGUACCACUGAACCACCGAUGC
rnacentral:tRNA from 1 species